GCGGCAAUAGUAUAGCGGUAGUAUGGGGGACUGUGGAUCCCCAGGUCUGGGUUCAACUCCCAGUUGCCGCC
rnacentral:tRNA from 1 species